rnacentral:rRNA from 1 species
UACGGAGGGAGCUAGCGUUGUUCGGAAUUACUGGGCGUAAAGCGCACGUAGGCGGCUUUGUAAGUUAGAGGUGAAAGCCCGGGGCUCAACUCCGGAAUUGCCUUUAAGACUGCAUCGCUAGAAUUGUGGAGAGGUGAGUGGAAUUCCGAGUGUAGAGGUGAAAUUCGUAGAUAUUCGGAAGAACACCAGUGGCGAAGGCGGCUCACUGGACUGGUAUUGACGCUGAGGUGCGAAAGCGUGGGGAGCAAACAGG